rnacentral:rRNA from 1 species
AACGAACGCUGGCGGCAGGCUUAACACAUGCAAGUCGAACGGGUGCAGCAAUGCAUCAGUGGCAGACGGUGAGUAACACGUGGGAACCUUCCUAGGGGUACGGAACAACUCAGGGAAACUUGAGCUAAUACCGUAUACGUCCGUGAGGAGAAAGAUUUAUCGCCCUUAGACGGGCCGCGUCGGAUUAGCUAGUUGGUGGGGUAACGGCCUACCAAGGCGACGAUCCGUAGCUGAUCUUAGAGGAUGAUCAGCCACACUGGGACUGAGACACGGCCCAGACUCCUACGGGAGGCAGCAGUGGGGAAUC